rnacentral:rRNA from 1 species
AUUGAACGCUGGCGGAAUGCUUUACACAUGCAAGUCGAACGGUAGAGGGGGCAACCCCUCGAGAGUGGCGAACGGGUGAGUAAUAUGUCGGAACGUGCCCAGUCGUGGGGGAUAACGUAGCGAAAGUUACGCUAAUACCGCAUACGGUCUAAGGAUGAAAGCGGGGGAUCGCAAGACCUCGCGCGAUUGGAGCGGCCGAUAUCAGAUUAGGUAGUUGGUGGGGUAAAGGCUCACCAAGCCAACGAUCUGUAGCUGGGCUGAGAGGACGACCAGCCACACUGGAACUGAGACACGGUCCAGACUCCUACGGGAGGCAGCAGUGGGGAAUUUUGGACAAUGGACGCAAGUCUGAUCCAGCCAUUCCGCGUGCAGGAUGAAGGCCCUCGGGUUGUAAACUGCUUUUGUACGGAACGAAAAGGUCUCUCUUAAUACGGGGGGCUCAUGACGGUACCGUAAGAAUAAGCACCGGCUAACUACGUGCCAGCCGCCGCCGUAA